rnacentral:rRNA from 1 species
CGGGUGAGUAACGCGUGGGUAACCUGCCCCAUACAGGGGGAUAACAGUUAGAAAUGACUGCUAAUACCGCAUGAGCGCACUGCAUCGCAUGAUGAAGUGUGAAAAACUGAGGUGGUAUGGGAUGGGCCCGCGUCUGAUUAGCCAGUUGGCGGGGUAACGGCCCACCAAAGCGACGAUCAGUAGCCGACCUGAGAGGGUGACCGGCCACAUUGGGACUGAGACACGGCCCAAACUCCUACGGAAGGCAGCAG